rnacentral:rRNA from 1 species
AGCGAACGUUAGCGGCGGGCUUAACACAUGCAAGUCGAGCGAGAAAGGGGCUUCGGCCCUGAGUACAGCGGCGGACGGGUGAAUAACACGUAGGUAACCUUCCUUCCAGCGGGGGACAACGGUCCGAAAGGACCGCUAAUACCGCAUACGUUCCCUGGGACCCUGGUCCCGGGGAGGAAAGCUCCGCAAGGGGCACUGGAUGAGGGGCCUGCGUAGCAUCAGCUAGUUGGUGGGGUAAUGGCCUACCAAGGCUAAGACGCUUAGCUGGUCUGAGAGGAUGAUCAGCCACACUGGGACUGAGACACGGCCCAGACUCCUACGGGAGGCAGCAGUGGGGAAUAUUGGACAAUGGGCGCAAGCCUGAUCCAGCCACGCCGCGUGAGUGAUGAAGGCCU